GACGAACGCUGGCGGCGUGCCUAAUACAUGCAAGUCGAACGUAGUGGGGACGGGUGAGUAACACGUGGGUAACCUCCCAUCAGAGGGGAUAACACUUGGAAACAGGUGCUAAACCGAUACUGAUGGAUGGACCCGCGGUGCAUUAGGUAGUUGGGGAGGGAACGGCUCACCAAGGCCACGAUGCAUAGCCGAACUGGGAGGGGGAUCGGCCACACUGGGAAUGAGACACGGGCCAGACUCCUACGGGAGGGAGCAGUAGGGAAUCUUCGGCAAUGGACGGAAGUCUGACCGAGCAACGCCGGGGGAGGGAAGAAGGUUUUCGGAUCGUAAAACUCUGUUAAUCGGGACGCGGUACCGGAAUAGAAAGCCACGGCUAACUACGUGCCAGCCGCCGCGGUAAUAC
rnacentral:rRNA from 1 species